rnacentral:rRNA from 1 species
UACAGAGGGGGCAAGCGUUGUUCGGAAUUACUGGGCGUAAAGGGCGCGUAGGCGGCCUGUUAAGUCGAACGUGAAAUCCCCGGGCUCAACCCGGGAACUGCGUCCGAUACUGGCAGGCUUGAAUUCGGGAGAGGGAUGCGGAAUUCCAGGUGUAGCGGUGAAAUGCGCAGAUAUCAGGAGGAACACCAAUGGCGAAGGCAGCUCACUGGGACGGUAUUGACGCUGAGACGCGAAAGCGUGGGGAGCAAACAGG